UCGCGGAGAGAUGAUGUUUAGGUCCGGGACUGUCAGUCAGUGCGCGGCCAGGUACGGGCCCGGGGUCCGCGGGGCCGGUGCCGCCAUGGCGGCCGUGUUUGAUUUGGAUUUGGAGACGGAGGAAGGCAGCGAGGGCGAGGGCGAGCCAGAGCUCAGCCCCGCGGCCUGUGGGACACUAUGAAGAGGUGGAGCUGACUGAGACCAGCGUGAACCUUGGCCCAGAGCGCAUCGGGCCCCACUGCUUUGAGCUGCUGCGUGUGCUGGGCAAGGGGGGCUAUGGCAAGGUGUUCCAGGUGCGAAAGGUGCAAGGCACCAACUUGGGCAAAAUAUAUGCCAUGAAAGUCCUAAGGAAGGCCAAAAUUGUGCGCAACGCCAAGGACACAGCACACACACGGGCUGAGCGGAACAUUCUAGAGUCAGUGAAGCACCCCUUUAUUGUGGAACUGGCCUAUGCCUUCCAGACUGGUGGCAAACUCUACCUCAUCCUUGAGUGCCUCAGUGGUAUGAGUGUGGGCCCAGGCAGGGGUGUUGGGGGUCGGGGGGCAGGGAGCCAGCAAAGGAAGCU
rnacentral:sRNA from 1 species